rnacentral:rRNA from 1 species
UACGUAGGGUGCAAGCGUUGUCCGGAAUUAUUGGGCGUAAAGAGCUCGUAGGCGGUCUGUCGCGUCGGCUGUGAAAACUCGGGGCUCAACUCCGAGCUUGCAGUCGAUACGGGCAGGCUAGAGUUCGGCAGGGGAGACUGGAAUUCCUGGUGUAGCGGUGAAAUGCGCAGAUAUCAGGAGGAACACCGGUGGCGAAGGCGGGUCUCUGGGCCGAUACUGGCGCUGAGGAGCGAAAGCGUGGGGAGCGAACAGG